UCUAGUAUAUGAUGAUUGUUUUACAUUGGGAAUCUCUCUGAAACAAAAUAAAUGGAGAUAUGUAACUUCUGAUACUGGA
rnacentral:snoRNA from 1 species